rnacentral:tRNA from 1 species
GGAGGUAUGGUGUAAUGGAUAGCAUGGGGGGUUUCGAACCCUAUGAUCCCGGUUCGAUUCCGGGUACCUCCACCA